rnacentral:rRNA from 1 species
UACGGGGGGGGCAAGCGUUGUUCGGAAUUACUGGGCGUAAAGGGCGCGUAGGCGGCCCUGUAAGUCGGGGGUGAAAGCCCACGGCCCAACCGUGGAAGUGCCUCCGAUACUGCGGGGCUCGAGGGAGGUAGGGGCAGCGGGAACUUCCGGUGGAGCGGUGAAAUGCGUUGAUAUCGGAAGGAACGCCGGCGGCGAAAGCGCGCUGCUGGACCUCUGCUGACGCUGAGGCGCGAAAGCCAGGGGAGCAAACGGG